AAUAAAGCCUCUUCUGUUAUUACAGCCUUGUGUUUGAUCUCCUUCCAUUGAAAGGGUCAUCGCUCCCGGUCCCUAACAGAAGGAGAAGAAAGUGCAAAGGGCUUCAUCAGUGUGUUCAUGACUUUGUUGUGUGUAUAGUGUACAAAAAGAAAAGCAUCUUGGGUGUGGAAUUACUAACCCACCCUUCAGCAGCAAACAUCAAGAUGGGUUAGGUUGGUGGCAGCAGGCAGCAAGACACACAAGGGGAGGAGUGUAGGAAAGUAUGUGCCUGCAUUUGCAUUUUGAUGAUACCCAUCUAUGUACGUGUCCCUCUUUUGUCUAUACUAUGGAACGACAUUGAAUUCAGUGGAAACGCCUUAGUAAUAUUGUAAUAGUUUAAAAUCUGAUAAUUCUCUUAGAAGCAUUAUAUUUAGUGUCCUCUUGCUUUAUGUUUCAAUUUAUUGAACAUUAAGGAAAUGCAAUAUUUUAAUUGUAACUCUGCGCAUACCCUUAUCUAGAGGCCUGUUAACAAUUUUUGUCUUUUAUGAACUGUUUUCUCCUCCCCAGGGUAAUUUUUUUGUUUUCUUUUUCUAAUUGACUCAGCAUAUUAUAUUCUUGCUUGUCAAAAGACUCAUAGCUUUGGGACUUUGGAUUGGUAAAUAUUUAUGAUGUGUGGGAAAAAUGCACGAAUCCGUGCUGUGGGACCUCAACCACCUAAACGUGCAUGCUCAGUCUUUUAUACACUUGCAUGGAAUGUAGAAAGACAUACCAAACUGUAUCAAAUCAUUAAAAGAAUGCCUUCUGUGUC